ensembl:snoRNA LOC120102692 small nucleolar RNA SNORA17
CCUGCCCUGAGAGGCAUCGGGUGUGGCUGCUGUGCGUCAGGAAUGGCAGAGAGGAGAGAGGCUGUGUCUGCCCUUAGUGUUCUGCUCUAUGAACAUCGAAAUGAUUAGUAGCCUACCAUU